rnacentral:ncRNA from 2 species
UAAUCAGAUAGAGGCGCAUUGUCAAUAAUUAGCACUUUUGAGUACGAUAGGGUACAGAGAUUUAGUGUAAAAGGUGACAAUGCCGAAAUUAUUUUACCCCUAUUGGUAAUGUAGUUGGGCCGUUAUUUAAUAAGUAACGGACUGUCGCACAUUGGUGCGUUGGGCUAUUGAUCAU